rnacentral:rRNA from 1 species
ACGAUCAAGUGUCUUAAGGGCAAUUGGUGGAUGCCUUGGCAUGCACAGGCGAUGAAGGACGUGAUACGCUGCGAUAAGCUACGGGGAGGUGCGAAUACCCUUUGAUCCGUAGAUUUCCGAAUGGGGAAACCCACCUAAGGUGCUUGGAAAAUCAGAGCAGCCAGUGGUCGAAAGGCCGACUGGCUGCUGUGGUUUCCAAGUAUCUGUUAUAGGUAACUUAUCCUGAAUACAUAGGGAUAAAGUGGCGAACGCGGGGAACUGAAACAUCUAAGUACCCGUAGGAAAGGACAUCAACCGAGACUCCGGCAGUAGUGGCGAGCGAACCCGGACCAGGCCAGUGGCGAUGAUGAGACAAGCGGAACCUUCUGGAAAGUAGGGCCAUAGUGGGUGACAGCCCCGUACGCGUAAUGCAAAUCAUCGUCCUCGAGUAAGGCGGGACACGUGAAAUCCUGUCUGAAAUUGGGGGGACCACCCUCCAAGCCUAAGUACUCGUGCAUGACCGAUAGCGAACUAGU